AUAAACAAAAACACAAGCUUUCCUCUGAAACGGAAGUGAAAGGGAACUUUAAGGUGUUUGGGUGGAAGAAAUUGAUUAAUAAUGCCUUGAGGUGAGUGUGUUUCAGAGCUCUGUUCGAAGAACAUCAGAUAUCUUGUCUGUUAUUGAAUUAUUUGUGUGUGAGAGGGCUGUAAUGACCGGGGAAAGGCGCAGAGCCGCUCAAAGUGUUGAGGGGAGAUCUUAUAAAGAUGCUGCUGUCACUAAUUUACCCGCAGACUCCACUAAGACUCCACCUCCAAAUCUGAGAUUGCAGCAGCAGCUCAGUAAGUCCCUGGGAGAACUUUUGGCUCAGAGGCCGGAUGGUAUCAGUUUGAACGAAGCUCGCAGGUCCUGUCCUCUUCUUUUGGACCCUGAACUGCUGAAGGAUCAACCAUCUGUCCGGCACCUGCUCCUCUCCAUGCCAGCAGUGGUGUAUCUGAAAGGGUUUGGUGUUCAAACACGCCUCUUUCCUCCUCUGAAAAAUAUCUGAUGAAAGUUUUAAUUACUUUUAUGCCAAUGGUUUAACAUCAUAUCCUCACAAUGAGUGUUCUCAGGAAGUCCUAUAGAACUCAUAUUACAUAUUACUAUGUUAGUAAUAAAAGCCUUUCUGUAAUGCUAUUAUAGGAAAAUAAUCAAUGACAGGGUGGUGUGAUGAAGCAGAGUCACUGUUAUCAUGCUGAAAUUCAUUAUUUUCCUAUAACAGUGUGUCACGAGGUGUUUUAUUACUCUCAUAAUAGAGCAAAUUACCAGUCAUCUCUUUGUCGUCUGCAGUUUUCCACCCGUCUUCUAACAGGAAAAAGAAAAUGUGAUCACAACACAGGUACUAGCCUCCCUCCACUGGUAUCCUGUCCAUUUCAGGAUUGUUUUUAAGGUUUUAAAUGGGCUGGUGCCACCUUAACUUGACGAACUCCUGCAUCUUCAUACCCUGGUUAAAGCACUGAGGUCACUCAACCAGGUGUUCUUGGAUUUUCUGAGAUCCAGACACAAAAACAGGGGUGAUCGCGCCUUUGCGGUGGCUGCCCCUCAUCUUUGGAACAGCUUAAUUUUUCAUCUAAGAACUGCUCGGACUUUAGAAACUUUUAAGUCGCUGCUGAAGACCCACUUCUUCUCAUUGGCAUUUGAUUUGAGCUUCAGACCCUGACUUCAUCCUUUAUUGUGCUGAAAUUCUUUAUUCUUAUUAUUUAUUAGUUAUUGUGUUUAAUUAUGCUGUUUUAUGGUUAACUAUUUGAUUGUACAGCACUUUGGUCAACUUUUAUUGCUUUUAAAUGAGCUUUAUAUAUAAAUUUGACCUUGACAGCAUAUACUUUAUUCAUUUAUAGUUACAUUUAAUGUUGUGGAAGUUCAGCAAAACACGUUUUACAAGACUUACACUAUGUACCAGCAGAUACUUUUCACUGAACUCACGAGAAUGGAAAAUGGCUUAUUCUGAUAUUUUCAGUGUAAAUGAGAUGAUGAAUACUCAUCCCCACUAGCUCGCAUUCAUCAUUUUAGAAGGUGAGAUUAAUCCUCUUUCAGUACUGAUUAUAGCAUCACCUCACCGCUUUUCUACAUGAACUCCUCAAAGUUUAGAUUUGGAUGUUGAAACCUUUGUGUUUAGUAAAACGGAUUAGAAAAAAAAUCCACCUUUUGGUGAAGUCGCUUCAUCUCACACUGAAAAAAUGAGAAAAAUCCAACCUUUAAUCAAAAUAAAUGUAUUCAGAGUCAAACAAAUCCCUCAUCAAGAAAUAAUUAUUUUCAACAACAAAAAAACACGUGCCACUAUUAUUGGCACCCCUGGAAAUUAUCGUGAACACAAUGUAACUGAAGCAUGUUUCCCAUUUAAAUUGUACAUUUUUGAGCUGACUGGAGUGUGUAGGAACUUUCAAGUUGUAAUCCAUGACUUCCUGAUUAACUGGGGAACAAAUAUGAGGUGACACACAGAGGCCAAAUUCCCUUACCCUGUGUCCGAAAUCGCUCACUCGUUCACGACUCCCUAUAUAGGGAAUUACUAUAUAGAGGACUAUAUAGUGAGCUCAUUGGUAAAAUGAAAAAAAAAAGCUUUCAGACACUAGUCUGUCGCGCUGGUAUUUACGUCAUUACUGUUGCACAAUUAAAACGCCAUAUUAGCUGGCUGGUGGGUUUUCCAAAUAAUAAAUACAUGCAUGUAUUUUUGUGAUAAAUACAUAUUAUACUGAGUGCAUUUCCCACAUUAAUCAAUACAAAGUACCUGCAUCUUUCAGUUUUUUUUUUAAAUCAAGGCUGAAUGCUUUCUUCUUUGCCCCUGCCUUUUAGUCAAUCAAAUUUGAGACUUUUAAUUUGAUUUCUUUCAGCACGACUGCGAUGCAUGGUGGGAUAUAUUGCAUGGUUAAUGACUGUCGGUUGUACACUACUUUUCGUGAUGCAUUGUGGGAUACUUUGAGUCCACUAUAUAGGGUGUAAAUAAUCCUCACUAAGGUUUUGAACAGCACUACAAAAUGGCGUCCUCACUAUAUAGUGCCACUAUAUAGCAGGGAGCAAUUUUGGACACAGGGUUAAUCAUCCAUCAACAUGGGAAAGAUAAGAGAUCACAGAAACCAAAUAAGGGAUAUAAUGGAAACUUCUAAUAAACUCUUCAUAACACUUAGCAGUCGUCUUUUCAGUUAUUUAUUAUAGUAGAUCAUAUAACAGAUAUAUAACAUAGGAAAGAGAAGAAUAAAAGAAGACACCACUUCUGAUGAUGCCAAGAGUACGCGCACUCUGAGUUGUGUUUUAGUGGCUAUUAUCUAUUAUACUCUAAAGGCAUUCGCUUACUGCUUGCAUCUUCACGUGAUUGGCUCAAGAUUUUCUAUGAAGCUUUGUUAAAGCGUGCACCGGCGUGCUCUGGUAUGUGCAGGCGGAUGUGUAGUUAUGGAGAACUCAGGCACCCUGCUUAUCACCAGCCAAGGCCACAGAAAGGUGAUUACAACAUGGGAAAAACAUCUUUCUCAGUACACUAAGCUACUUUAACUCAACAUACAGAAACACAGAGAAUAAUAAUGUUCGUCCAUUAAAUUUCCCUCACAGGGAGGAGUAUGUUGAUCUUCCUAAGUCAGGGAAUGGUUAUAAAAAAAAUAGCUGCUCUCCUGAGCUCCUUGGACUUUCCCAUUGUACUCUGUGUUGGUCAAUCCAGUGAGUGCUGUCCAACAAACCCUUUUGAUGUUGGCAUGGAGGAGCUACCAGCUGUGUAGUAGUCAAUCAUGAUCAUGAAUGGGAAGUUAAGAGGCCUCGGCAAGUUAAAAGAUAUUUUGGAACUUUCAGCAUCACUGAAUUAAUAAUCUAAGUGGGUGUAAAUUUUUGAACCUGUAUGUAUAAUUUUGACCCUGUGUUGAUUUCAAAAAACCCAAAAUAAGUUCAAACGUGCACCAAAUUCUUGUUUUCUUUUCUCUUAAAGAUGUAUGUUGUACAAUUAUUCUUCCUCAGAAAAAAGAACAAUGCAAAGAACUCACUGAAAGCCCAGUAUUACCAUGACGUUCAUGUCCAUGAUGACAUUCAUGACACUCUAUGUAAACAAACUGUUACUGCAUAUAUACGCCAGUAUUCAAGGUGUUUACACAAAGAUGUGGUCAGAAAUGUACAUUUAAUUUGUAUUUAACUUUUAAAAAUGAAUCCCAAUUAAAAUACCAAUAUAGACUGA